AUCGAACGCUGGCGGCAGGCCUAACACAUGCAAGUCGAACGAGUGGCGGACGGGUGAGUAAUGUCUGGGCAACUGCCUGAUGGAGGGGGAUAACUACUGGAAACGGUAGCUAAUACCGCAUACCAUCGGAUGUGCCCAGAGGGGAUUAGCUACUAGGUGGGGUAACGGCUCACCAAGGCGACGAUCCCUAGCUGGUCUGAGAGGAUGACCAGCCACGCUUGAACUGAGACACGGUCCAGACUCCUACGGGAGGCAGCAGUAGGGAAUAUUGCACAAUGGACGCAAGCCUGAUGCAGCCAGGCCGCGUGUAUGAAGAAGGCCGUCGGAUUGUAAAGUACUUUCAGCGGGGAGGCGUUACCCGCAGAAGAAGCACCGGCUAACUCCGUGCCAGCAGCCGCGGUAAUAC
rnacentral:rRNA from 1 species